rnacentral:rRNA from 1 species
GUGCUUAACACAUGCAAGUCGAACGAUGAAGAGCAGCUUGCUGCUUGGAUUAGUGGCGCACGGGUGAGUAAUAUAUAGGUAAUGUGCCUCUUAGUCUGGGAUAGCCAUUGGAAACGAUGAUUAAUACUGGAUACUCCUUCUAACUCUAAUGUUAGUCGGGAAAGUUUUUCGCUAAGAGAUCAGCCUAUAUCCCAUCAGUUAGUUGGUAAGGUAACGGCUUACCAAGGCAAUGACGGGUAGCGGGUUUGAGAGGAUGAUCCGCCACACUGGUACUGAGACACGGACCAGACUCCUACGGGAGGCAGCAGUGAGGAAUAUUGCACAAUGGGGGAAACCCUGAUGCAGCAACGCCGCGUGGAGGAUGACGCAUUUCGGUGUGUAAACUCCUUUUAUAUGUCAAGAAAAUGACGGUAGCAUAUGAAUAAGCACCGGCUAACUCCGUGCCAGCAGCCGCGGUAAUACGGAGGGUGCAAGCGUUACUCGGAAUCACUGGGCGUAAAGGACGCGUAGGCGGAUUGGAAAGUCAGAUGUGAAAUCCUACAGCUUAACUGUAGAACUGCAUUUGAAACUUCUAAUCUAGAGUAUGGGAGGGGGAGAUGGAAUUAGUGGUGUAGGGGUAAAAUCCGUAGA